rnacentral:rRNA from 1 species
AUGUCGGAUCGGCAGCCGUCGGAGGAGCCGGAGGAGCAGGUGGACCUGGAGGGAGACGACGACGUCAUGGACGACGAGGAAGGGUACCGCCGCCGCCGCCACGGUGGCGAGGACUCUGAUGAACCGGAGGAGGAGCCCGAGGAGCCUCAAAUCGAGGUUGAGGGCGAUGGCGAUGGAGAUGGCCGGGAGGAGGACGCCGGUAUGGCCGUUGCGAGUGAUGAACCUGCCGCAGGAAGUGGUGACGAGAUGGAGAAGGGUGAUGGGCCUGAGGACGAAGAAGAGAAGAUGAAGUGGGACGAGCUCCUCGCACUACCCCCGCAGGGCUCGGAGGUAUUUGUCGGGGGCCUCCCCCGAGACACCACCGAGGAGGACCUCCGCGAGCUAUGCGAGCCAUUGGGCGAAAUCUUUGAGGUGAGGUUGAUGAAGGAUAAGGAAACAAAGGAAAACAAAGGAUUUGCAUUUGUCACAUUUACUGCCAAGGACGUGGCGCAGCGUGCUAUUGAAGAACUGCAUGACAAGGACCACAAGGGGAGAACACUGCGAUGCUCAUUGUCCCAGGCCAAGCACAGGUUAUUUGUUGGCAAUGUACCCAAAGGGUUGAGUGAGGACGAGCUGACAAGCAUAAUCAAAGGGAAGGGGCCAGGGGUCGUGAAUAUUGAGAUGUUCAAGGAUUUGCAUGAUCCAAGCCGUAACCGUGGGUUCCUCUUCGUUGAGUACUAUAACCAUGCUUGCGCAGACUAUGCCAGGCAGAAAUUGUCAUCACCAGACUUUAAGGUUGAUGGAAGCCAGUUGACUGUUAGCUGGGCUGAACCUAAGGGUUCAUCAUCGUCAUCAUCAGAUUCUUCUUCAUCUGCUGCUCAGGUGAAGACUAUAUAUGUGAAGAACCUGCCGGAGAAUGUUUCUAAAGAGAAAGUUAAGGAUCUCUUUGAAGUUCAUGGAGAGGUCACAAAAAUUGUUUUACCGCCUGCUAAGGCCGGGCAUAAGAGGGAUUUUGGGUUUGUUCACUUCGCUGAAAGAUCAAGUGCACUGAAGGCAGUUAAAGGAAGUGAAAAAUACGAAAUUGAUGGGCAAGUGCUCGAAGUUUCCAUGGCCAAACCUUUGAGUGAUAAAAAGCCUGACCACUCGUUCAAGCCUGGAGGAGCUCCUAGCUAUCCUCUUCCACCUUAUGGUGGCUACAUGGGAGACCCAUAUGGUGCCUAUGGUGGCGGCCCUGGAUUCAACCAGCCUAUGAUCUAUGGUAGAGGACCAGCACCAGCUGGAAUGAGGAUGGUACCGAUGGUGCUCCCUGAUGGCAACAACCUGGUGGAAUGCCGCCUCCACCACCUCCUCGACGUGGUGACCGGCGGGAUGGCGGUGGCCGAGGCGGCGAGGGAAGCCACCGGCGUUAUCGGCCCUACUAGUUUUUCCCUUGCCUUGCAUUUUUCGUCGUGCUAG